CGCACGGGUGAGUAACACGUAUCCAACCUGCCGUCUACUCUUGGACAGCCUUCUGAAAGGAAGAUUAAUACAAGAUGGCAUCAUGAGUCCGCAUGUUCACAUGAUUAAAGGUAUUCCGGUAGACGAUGGGGAUGCGUUCCAUUAGAUAGUAGGCGGGGUAACGGCCCACCUAGUCUUCGAUGGAUAGGGGUUCUGAGAGGAAGGUCCCCCACAUUGGAACUGAGACACGGUCCAA
rnacentral:rRNA from 2 species